GAUGUUUGGUCAAAGGUUGGACUUGAUGAUCUUGGGGGAUCACCUUAGUGAUCCUGUGACUAUAGCAAGCUCCUCUGACAGACCUAAGCAAGGGGAGAUGGUGAGUCAGAUCUGGGAUAUGUCUAGGAGAUUCCAGUCAGGAAUGGAGUCCAGGAGACUGGACUGGAGAUGGAGCUACCCAGUGUUGGGAUCUGCACAAAAUUGUACCAGCCCUGAAUGAAGGUGGGAGAGUGGCAAAUGGGCUGCUGUGCAGAGACACAGCUGGAGAUCAGCUCCAAUACAGGGAAAAGAAGGUGGAUUAAGAGCUCCUCAAGUGAGAAAAGGAGAGAUGGAAAUGAAGGGUGUGCACUUCUGGUGUAUCCUCACCUUCGUGGAGAUUUCUACACGUGCUGUGUUAAAAACAUCCCAUUUGAGAGAUACAUCCAGUGCCUUCCACACCAGUCACAGACCUCUGCUGUGCUUUGGUUUUGGAUUUCCCUCCCUCAGAGGUGAGGCAGAGCACGGGGAGCUGGAGCAGCACUUCACCUGCUGCCUUCCAAGGAGGGAACAAAGAGAGAUGUGGAUGUGUCAGGAAAGCUCUGUGAUAUUUGACAUGGAUUUGUUUGGUAGGUGCUCGUUUUGCACCUCCUGCCUGUGUGAAGCUGCUCCCGGGUGAGUGAGGGAGACCUACUCUGGGUCCUUCUGUCGUGCAUGAAUGUCAGCUCCUUUCCUAGCAUGUUACCAUGGCAUCCUACCUGGGGUAACUUAAAGGAGAAGAGGAGGAUACAAAAGGGACAUGUUUAUUAACCCUUUCAGGAGAGCCAUAUGAAAGGGCUAAGAGAAACUGCUAUGGAGGAUGUCACUGCUUUGGAAUCUUGCUUCUUUAUUGCUGCUUCUUGGAGAUCGCAAAUUAAGUAACCCCUGUCCCUUCCCAGGUACCACCAACAGAGACAAAUGUGUUAAUAGCCCGGCCCUUUGCCCCUGGAAAGAUGAAAAGUCAAGCCCUGAGAUCAGGAAAUAGGGGACAACAGGGCUUUACAUCACACUAAUGUCUUCAUCCUGUAGAUCACCUGGGGUAUCUUAUUUUUUGAAGUUCUUUCUUUGCAUUAUUCUCCCUAGAACGACACCCCUGGUCUUCCCAGAGAAUCUGCUUUUGUCUGUGACUGCUGAAGGCAGUCACAUUUCUAGAGCAGCCUGGUUUACAGGAGGUUUUAGCUUGAACUGUUUGCUGGUCUUAUGUAAGGGAGGCAACAAUUGAAUCUUCAUAGUUGGGGCUGAACUGGGAAAGUACUUAAAAUAGCAGUAAAAUCUCUCAGUGUGCACUUUAAUUAUUAAAUUUUGUCCCGCUGCAGAGGAGAGUAAUUUCUUUUUGGGAUAAUUGCCUUUUCGAAGCAAUUUUUGCAUUAAAGAUUCACUGGCUUUGCAGAAGAUGCUUCUAAAUGCUCCUUAUUAAAAAUUUAGCUUGAGUCUGGUCUUGCCUCUUUUCACUUUUUACUUUUUCUUACUCACAAAUAGUAGCCUUUGUUCUCUUCUAGCCUAAAUCUCCUCUCUUGAGCAUACUUGCUUUGAGAGCUGCACAUUAAAGCAAAAAAAUAGUGCAUAUUUGUUCUUCAGCAUUGGUGCCCUGUAAAUCCAGGAUGGCUGAGGCAUAGCUUAGUUGCCUCACAGCCCGAAAUCCCACCCUGAAAGGCUUCCCUUCUUAAUCAACUGGUCUGACCUCACUGUAUCCCCUUUUUAUUUGUGACGUCUGAUUGGAAAAAAAAAAAAGAUAUUACCAAUUAAAUAACCCAAUUUAUGAUUGAAAAUGAAUCAAAACCUUAGUCUUUUCUGAAUGUAGCAAGAAGGAUGUGCUGUCUCUUGAAGUAAGUCCACGGGCAAUAGUGCAUCACAUUUCUGGUGUUUCCACCAAUGAAUUUUUGCACGUCCUAAAGGAAGGAGGGGUUAUGUGAAGGAAUUUCAGAGACCACUACCACACUGGAAACAAAGCUGCUCUCUGUAUUCUCUGGAGAGCUCCCUUAAAGUAAUCCUAGUCAUUCCAAGUAGGUACUUCCUAAGCCUUUCUGAUUGCUGAUGUUCUGGCCAGAGAAUUUUCAGUGGGGAGAGUUCAGUCAGAAGAGCAUUUUAUACUAGAUCACAUCUGCUAAAAGAGAUCAGAAUUGGUGUUUCUGUGUGCAUCAGUAAUGCCACAUUAAGACACUUGAGGCUUUCUUCCUAUCCCAAUAUCUAAGUAAUGAAGUAAGAAAUAAAUGAAGUUUCAAUAGCCAGAGUUUUUCUUAAAAGAAAAAAUAAAUAUGACAUUGAAUUAAGGGAACUUGAAUUUGUCUUCUAUCUGAUAGAUCCUUUUUACUGCUUGUCCUGAUACUCCUCCUUUGAUUUAAAUGCAGUUACUCCAGAUUUUCCAUAGUAAAAACUAGACUGAAAUCAACUCAUUGACAGACAUGAAAAGUUUAGAUUUUUUCCCCGUUUCCCCAAGUUAAGUGGGUAGGAGUAGCCUUCAGAAAAAAAGCAAAGCUUUCAAGGAUAGGGUUUUGGACAGUGAGUUCAGACUGGGAGAUAAUGUUAAAUUCAGUUGCAAUGUGCAGCUAGGUUUAAGUUUUGAUAUUGCUGAACCUUCAUAUACUUGGACUCAUGUGGUCAGCUAAAUUUGGAAAAAAAAGUACUGAGGCAAACUGAUCUUGUGACAUUCUACCUGCCCUUUGCACACUUAAAAUAAGAUUUUAAAAAAUCAAUCUGCAUCUCACUAAACCUGUUCUAGAGCUCAGGUGCAGAUCUGAGUUUUCGCUGAAGAUCUCCCAUCCUCAAGAAGGGAAAGGAGAAGAAAACAGAUUCUUUGGUGCUCCCAUUCAGGUCUCUCUCCCUGCACUGGGCUGCAUUAUAUGUGUUGUACAGUCUGUCUUGCCCAGAACAGCUGUGGCUGUCACCUACUAGUGUGGUGUUCAAAUUAAGACUGAUUGUUUCCAUCCAUGCAAUUAGCUGCUGUCAGUCUCACAUGUGGCAAGCAAUUGGUACAGAGUUGUUGCUUUUUUGUUUUUUUUGUCCUGGAAUUAGCUGGUUUAACCUUGAAUUAAGUGAGUAAAUAUAUAGAACAGCAACUGGAGUUCGGUAGCAACCAGAUGAUGUUAUCAGCAAAACUCUGUCUCAGCUUCCAGCUGGCACUUCUUGAGGGGCAGCAACACAAUUGAGAUUGGCAGUAAGUGGAUUUCAUGGGCUGAGUUCUGGCCAAGGACCCAACUACCUGCACAGUGUGUGUUAUGACUCUUGCCUUUCUCAGUAAAAAAAUGCUUUCUUUUCACACUUAUCUCUGGUACUUGUCAGCUUUUGAGCUAAUUACAGCCACUUUUUAGAAGGGUAUGGCCUUUUGUAGUCACAACACACCUGCUCUAUAAACAAGGUAGGAAUCUUCUCUUGUGACAGCUCUGGAUUACUCAGACAUCUUGUUGGGUUUUACCCUGAGCCUCCAUGAACGUUUUUCGAGCCUAUUCUGUUUGCAGCUCACAGCAAAAGAAAGGGGAGAUACAGAAGGAAGCUGCUGUUGUAACAUUUAAAUAGACACAGGAGUGAGCAAACACUGAGGUUCAGGCACUCUCAGACUCAGGAGACAUCUGGGUUUCACAUUUUGGCUUCCAGCUCUGUGGCUUGUGCUCACUUCUGCAAACAGCUUGGUGUUAGAAAACCUCUUAUUUAGUGCUUCUCCAUGAUGAAAGCUUCGGGCCUGUUGUCAACACAAGGCACUUCUUCCCCUUAGGGGGAGAAAGGGAGCAGUUUUUAGAAGCAGUUUUUUGUCUGUGUCGUUUCUUGUCCUGCCCUUGUCCCAGAACGAUGUUGUGAGCCUGAGGCUGCACCACGUGGAGUCCCCAGCUUUGCCCAAGACUGUGCUGCUCCCUCAAAGUUCCAUUGUCCCACAGCACAACAGGGGCUGUAGGAGUAACAGGAAAACCUAAAAAAUAUCCUGAUGGGGUGUGGGAAAGCAAGAGGACCCCAAGGUUAUUCCAGUGCCCAGCCAGGCUGUUCCUUUAACAGAAAAGGCAACAGACUGAGCCCAUCAUGAAGCAGGUCUUGGCCUUUUGGGAGGGGGGGAAAAAACAGUGGCCUUUGGUAUUGUUGUCUCUUAAUUAUUUGUGCUGUGGUACCAUCAGGAGGCCCUGUCCUCCUUUGGGACCAGUCUAGAGCUGGCAGUUUUCGCUCUGUCACAUUCAGUGAAUACGUGGAGGUGACAAGGAUCCAACUGUACUUUCAGCUCUGCUGCUUCUUGCUGCCAGCACACACUUGCACCCCUGCAAGUGAUUUCCCUCAUGAAGGGUGUGUAAGCUGAUUUAAUUGCUAAUAGGGGAGAUCUGACAACAGAAUACACAGCUAUGUUUGUUGGCAUGUUCUUAAGAUGUGGGGGAAAGGAGCGAGAAGCAAAGUAAAAAUAGACUCUCUUAAGAGGUUUCAUGAUCUAAUAAAUCUGGACAGUGCAAGUUAUAAUGUCUGGACUAAAGAGUUAUCCAUCUUUGGUUUUUUGUAAUAAUCUCCUCGGUGUUUUUGUGGCUCAGACUCUUUUGUUCCUGUCAUCAGGAUGCGUGGUUGGACUUUAGGAGCAGUUUGCUGUGCUUCAUUUGCUGUCUUGCAUUCAAGUUCAUUUGCAUUCUGAAUAUUUCAGAGUACUUUAAAAAUGGUCAUUAAGUGUAUCUUGGUAUGUCUUUGAAAAGUAUUAUUAAUUGUAUGCUUCAAAUUUUAUACGUCCCCAUGCAAUACAGGGUUUGGAUACUUUUCUUUCCUUCUCUUUUCCUUUUUCAGAUUUACAGAUCCAGACUCCUGAAGCCUAUUCUACUCUAAGCCAAAGCUGUUCUCUUUAUCCUUGGGACGUUUUAAAGAGGUUGACAGAUGAGUUAUGAGUUAAAGUUUAGGUCUGGCUUUAAAAAGAUUGUACUAAACAAACCAGUGUAUUAUUAUGCUAUGGGAUCACUUAAAGAGUCCCUUUUAUUGCCAGAACCCGUGUGUCCUUUCUGGUCUCUGUACAGUGGGAUCAGAGGUAGCAGAAAUAAUAAACCGUUGUCACUGAUAAAAAUAAAGGAAGAUGUGGACCUUUGGUGGUGGACCAGGAGUUAGGAAGAGAACACAGUCUUUUGAAGUGCUGAGAAAUCUAUAUGCAGCAAUUUUGUGCUUGAGGUAGGCAGUGAAGGAUGAAAAUCAUUAUGUUAGUAUCUUUCUCAAGGUACUGUGAAAUAAACCCAGCAAAAUAGAGGGGAAAAAAAUUAUAUGGAAUUAAUAGAACUUACAUUAUAAUGGACCAAAGAAGCAACUACAUGAUGAAGGAAAAAUAUUCUAGCUGUGUGGCAAUAUUUGUUUAUUUUUAUUUGAUGACUUAAUGUUGGAAGAGACAAAAAUAAAACGUUCCCAAAAUUAGUCACAGUAAGUGUUUGAACAAAAGAUGCAAAUUAGCUGGAAUCAGCUAUUGAGCCAGAGCCAUGGACACGGUGGUGCAUUGCAAGGAAAAAAACCAACAUUCAGGGCCCUUUGGCUUUGCAGCAGCUCAGAGAUGCUGAGCCUCGAUAAGAAGCCACAAACAGGAGGCUUAGAGCUCACCUAAGGACCAAAGGGAAACAAACUACAGUUCUGGUGAAAGGGUCCAAGCUGAAGAACAUUCCUUUCAUUUAUUUUCCACCAGCUAAUACCCCAUUUCCUGUCAGUUCUGGGCCAGAGCUCACUUUGCUGACUUCAGCAAGAUGGUCAAGCCUCAGAUUUCCAUUUUCCAAGUGCAGCUUGCUUUGCAGGAAAACAUAGACACAAUCCAUCAGCAGUCCUGAGAUUCAGCUGGUCCCAGCAGCCCUAUGUGCAUGCACUCCAGGAGAGCUGAAUGUGAGUUUCCAGCCCUGGGGGAGUCUCUGGAGUCUGUCCUUUAAAUACUUGUUUUUAUAUAUUUGUUUCUGUUUAUGACAGAAGACGAGGGUGUGAACAGGUCCCAUCACCUCCCGCAUGGGUUGUGGUUCGUGAGCCUUAUACCAGGGUUCAGUAACACCUGGGCAGGAUUUGGCUUUGGAAAAACAAAGGAAAAGGGAUUAAAAGGGAUUCCUACUUCUCCAGCUUAAUUUUCUCACAUCUCUCAAGAAAGUCGGAUUUCUGAGCCACAGGGAAAGGAUGGAGCUAGCUCUCUUCCUUAACACAGAUCUUGGUGAUGAGCAGGGUUUGGGAUGCAGUGGGUCUUUGCUGCUGUUACUCAUUUCCUUACUGCUUUCCAAGCCCCUGCGCUGUUCCCAGUGCUGGGAUCUGUUCCCUGGGCUGGGAGGUGAUGGGGCAGGAUCUCUGCUCUCUUUCCUGAGGACAGAUCCAGCUGUAUUUUGUAUCUGAGGCACACUGUCAGUGUUUAAAAAAGGCAGCCUAUAGGAGCAUAGUCUGUUAUUCUGGAAGCUGUGCUAGUAUUUAAUGCCCCUCUCCUGUACCCAGGGUGGGGGGCAAGGGUCUGCCUCUAAAUGUUAACAAGAAUACCCCUGAUUCAUGGGAAAGCUUCUCUAAAGUGGCCUGUGAGGAAGGGAUUUGGCUCUAAAAAGAGACUUGUAGGUAUGGAAUAGCCAGGGUAAAACUCACUGCUGGGGCAGCUCUGCAUCUCUGGAGGUGAGGAACACUGGCACAGCCUGCUGGUAGUCAGGGAGCCUUUUGGUAUCAAAACAAUGCUUUUCUUUCUGCCAGGCUCAUGGUUGUAGCAUUAUUUUGGUCUUUACAAGUGGAAAUGGAACAAGAAAAAAAGAAGCCUGAUGUCUUUCAUUUAUCUUUAGAACUCAUACCUUCCCUUAGCCCAGGGAGCUAUGAAUUUAUUGUAUGUGAUAAUAAGAAUGUAAUUAUACAUCAGAA